rnacentral:lncRNA from 1 species
GUGAAAGUGGAUAAUAAAUAUAAAAGAGCUGCCAUAUUUUGAUAUUAAGGAGAAACAAGGGGAAAAAUUGCUAAGAGUCAUGCAAGAUAAGUCCCUAGAGGUUUGAAGAAAUGAAUAAAGUGCCUGGGCAAUUAUGCUUUCUUUAAACUAGUCUUUCAGUGACUAUCAACAUGUUUGCAGUAAGAGCCAUUCUGAGAGGUAGCAGGUGUCUACUCUCAGGUACGUGUGUUCUGUGUGGUCAAAUCUUGUAAUUGUUCAAACAUCCGUGCUUUGGGUGAGCGAGAAAGAGUGUAAAAUUUAUAUUUAUAGGACAUUCAAAUAAGGUGAUGGAUUUGGAAUCUCUUUAUAAAUAUGCUUUUCAAACCUGUGUUGCUAUUAUUAUUUUUGAAAUUUCAAUACUAAAAAUUUUAAUCAUUAAUAAUACUCAUAUAUACAAUAUCUUUCAAGCACCUGAUAUUGUUUAAUUUUUGUCUAAUCUUUUUUUUUCAUAGACCUAUACUAAUGCCUUUUAAAACAUUUUUAUUUUUGGUAAUUUAGCAGGAUAUUUUCCACUAAAUUUUAGAUGUACAUGGUAUGUGUGCAUAUAUGUGUGCAUUUUAAUACUUCUCAUCACUGAAAUAAUUAAUAUUAGUUAAAUGGCUACCUGUUUACCUCAGUUGCCUAUUGAUACAUGUUUGAACUACAUCACUGGAGUUGUGUCCUUGGAUUUAAAGUUUAGCAUGAUGUCUUGCCUACUGUUGUAUACCAGUUGGCUACUUGCUGGCCAUUAGAUAGUGACCUAACAAGAACCUGAAGAGGAUUAGCAGAAUUUGCUUUUUACAGCACACAUAAAUUAUGGUGCUUCCUGUCUCUAAAAUGUGCUUUUAUCAACUGCUUGUCAUUUCAAAUUUCUCUUUAACAUCUACCUAGAAUGCCACUAAUAUUAAUCCUGGAUCAACUUACCUAAGAUUUUGAGCAGGAAACCCAACAGCACAAAAUGAAUUUUACCCUGAUUCCCUAUUCUUUCUAAAAUCUAAUUCAUGAUAUAUAAUAUGUAGUUUAAUAAUAGUAGAC